UACGUAGGGUGCAAGCGUUAAUCGGAAUUACUGGGCGUAAAGCGAGUGUAGGCGGUUUGGUAAGUCGGAUGUGAAAGCCCCGGGCUCAACCCGGGAAGUGCACUCGAUACUGCCAAGCUAGAGUAUCGGAGGGGUCGGCGGAAUUCCCGGUGUAGAGGUGAAAUUCGUAGAUAUCGGGAGGAACACCUGUGGCGAAGGCGGCCGACUGGACGAUCACUGACACUGAGACGCGAAAGCGUGGGUAGCAAACAGG
rnacentral:rRNA from 1 species